rnacentral:rRNA from 1 species
GACGAAGGUGGCAAGCGUUGUUCGGUAUCACUGGGCUUAAAGCGUGUGUAGGCGGAAGCGUAAGCGUUUUGUGAAAUCCCUCGGCUUAACCGAGGAAUUGCUUGACGAACUGCGUUUCUUGAGGCAGGUAGAGGUGUGUGGAAUUCCGGGUGUAGUGGUGAAAUGCGUAGAGAUCCGGAGGAACACCAGUGGCGAAGGCGACACACUGGGCCUGGCGUGACGCUCAGACGCGAAAGCAUGGGGAGCGAACGGGAUUAGAUACCCCGGUAGUCCCU